rnacentral:rRNA from 1 species
CAGCCCUAAACGAUGCGCGUUAGGUGUAUCGGUGACCACGAGUCACCGAGGUGCCGAAGGGAAACCGUGAAACGUGCCGCCUGGGAAGUACGGUCGCAAGGCUGAAACUUAAAGGAAUUGGCGGGGGAGGCACCACAACGGGUGGGAGCCUGCGGUUUAAUUGGACUCAACGCCGGGAAGCUCACCGGAUAAGACAGCGGAAUGAUUGCCGGGCUGAAGACCCUGCAUGACUAGCUGAGAGGAGGUGCAUGGCGUAGACGUCU